rnacentral:rRNA from 1 species
AGUGAACGCUGGCGGUAGGCCUAACACAUGCAAGUCGAACGGCAGCACAGUAAGAGCUUGCUCUUACGGGUGGCGAGUGGCGGACGGGUGAGGAAUACAUCGGAAUCUACUUUUUCGUGGGGGAUAACGUAGGGAAACUUACGCUAAUACCGCAUACGACCUACGGGUGAAAGCAGGGGAUCUUCCGACCUUGCGCGAUUGAAUGAGCCGAUGUCGGAUUAGCUAAUUGGCGGGGUAAAGGCCCACCAAGGCGACGAUCCGUAGCUGGUCUGAGAGGAUGAUCAGCCACACUGGAACUGAGACACGGUCCAGACUCCUACGGGAGGCAGCAGUGGGGAAUAUUGGACAAUGGGCGCAAGCCUGAUCCAGCCAUACCGCGUGGGUGAUGAAGGCCUUCGGGUUGUAAAGCCCUUUUGUUGGGAAAGAAAAGCAGCAGGUUAAUACCCCGCUGUUCUGACGGUACCCAAAGAAUAAGCACCGGCUAACUUCGUG